rnacentral:tRNA from 1 species
AUUCUUUUAGUAUAAUUAGUAUAAUUGACUUCCAAUCAAAAGGUUAAAUUUUAAAAGAAUA